GGUUCUGUUCACGUUGUCUCCCGGGCAGAGCAGGGAGCUGAUCAGAGGUUCUGUUCACGUUGUCUCCCGGGCAGAGCAGGGAGCUGAUCAGAGGUUCUGUUCACGUUGUCUCCCGGGCAGAGCAGGGAGCUGAUCAGAGGUUCUGUUCACGUUGUCUCCCGGGCAGAGCAGGGAGCUGAUCAGAGGUUCUGUUCACGUUGUCUCCCGGGCAGAGCAGGGAGCUGAUCAGAGGUUCUGUUCACGUUGUCUCCCGGGCAGAGCAGGGAGCUGAUCAGAGGUUCUGUUCACGUUGUCUCCCGGGCAGAGCAGGGAGCCGAUCAGAGGUUCUGUUCACGUUGUCUCCCGGGCAGAGCAGGGAGCCGAUCAGAGGUUCUGUUCACGUUGUCUCCCGGGCAGAGCAGGGAGCCGAUCAGAGGUUCUGUUCACGUUGUCUCCCGGGCAGAGCAGGGAGCCCAGCAGAGGUUCUGUUCACGUUGUCUCCCGGGCAGAGCAGGGAGCUGAUCAGAGGUUCUGUUCACGUUGUCUCCCGAGCAGAGCAGGAGCCCAGCAGUAUAGACGAGGAGGAUCAGGAGGUGAAUCAGGAUAACAUCCUGGAAACAGCAGAGAGCUGGGGAGUGUGGCAGGCCGGAGGGGUCAGAGGUUAGAGGUCAGGCUGGAGUUCAGUAUCCUGUCAGUCUGGAGGGACUCCUUUUCGCUGAGGCCUUUUCUGGGCUCUGUGUGUGUGUGUGUGUGUGUGUGUGUGUGUGUGUGUGUGUGUGUGUGUGUGUGUGUGUGUGUGUGUUCAAUACCCUGUGUGUGUGUGUGUGUGUGUGUGUGUGUGUGUGUGUGUGUGUGUGUGUGUGUGUGUGUGUGUGUGUGUGUGUGUGUGUGUGUGUGUGUGUGUGUGUGUGUGUGUGUGUGUGUUCAAUACCCUGUGGUGAUGUUGGUGAGUGUGUGUGUGUUUGAGCCCGGUGCAGUGAAGCUAUAGGCAGCGUAGGCCACAGCUGAUCCCAACAUCAACCCUGUCAUGUACGAUACAGUCAUAGUG